UACGGGGGGGGUAAGCGUUGUUCGGAAUUACUGGGCGUAAAGGGCUCGUAGGCGGCCAACUAAGUCAGACGUGAAAUCCCUCAGCUUAACUGGGGAACUGCGUCUGAUACUGGAUGGCUUGGAUUCGGGAGAGGAAUGCGGAAUUCCAGGUGUAGCGGUGAAAUGCGUAGAUAUCUGGAGGAACACCGGUGGCGAAGGCGGGUCUCUGGGCAACAACUGACGCUGAGGAGCGAAAGCGUGGGGAGCGAACAGG
rnacentral:rRNA from 1 species